rnacentral:miRNA from 1 species
CCGGCUGUGGUUGGUGAUCUCGUACUGCGCCUUGACCUCAGCGAUGAUGCUGUCCAUGUCCAGGGAGCUGCUGUCGUCCAUGGACAGCACCACAGACGUGUCUGAGAUCUGGGACUGCAGCUC